rnacentral:lncRNA from 1 species
CAAUCAGUUUGUAACUCCAACAUGCUCCUAGGAUGGCUGACCCAUACAUAGUUCACAGCGGGGCAUGAAUAGAGAUGAGGACUUCUGAAUUAGUGUCAUGCUCAUGCACUCACUCAUAUUUACUCUCAACAUAACACCCUGUGUUGGUUUCAAGUUGGCUUCAAACCUCUCCAACCUGCACCCCUACUCACACCACCAACCUCCAAGGACAUCAGCCUGCAUUGGACUAACCAGCAUUUCCAGGGAAGACAUGCUAAGUUGCCACCCUCUCCAACUCCGAAUCUAUAGACAAGAUUCUUCCCAGCUCCAGCCCCCUGUAGGUUCUGCUAAGAAGACCAAUACCCUACAUGAGAAGAGAUACUAUGUGAUAUGGAAUUAAGAGCCAUCAGAACUCAACAAUUCUGACUCCACAAUUAUUAAUGCACACUCUUCUGCCUACCUAGUGCAUAGGCUAGGGGAUAUUCAAAGAGGUCCUUAAGUUGUUGUCCUUAGCGGUCCUCCAGGCACUAUAAAGAUUGAU